GAAUUUUGGGCAAUGGGCGAAAGCCUGACCCAGCAACGCCGCGUGAGGGAUGAAGGCCCUCGGGUCGUAAACCUCUGUCGGGAGGGAAGAACGGUUCACGUUCAAACAGGACGGGCGCCUGACGGUACCUCCAAAGGCAGCCCCGGCUAACUCCGUGCCAGCAGCCGCGGUAAUACGGAGGGUGCAAGCGUUGUUCGGAAUCAUUGGGCGUAAAGCGCGUGUAGGCGGCUUGGCAAGUCAGUUGUGAAAGCCCGGGGCCCAACCCCGGAACUGCAUCUGAAACUGCCUGGCUCGAGUCCCGGAGAGGAAGGCAGAAUUCCCGGUGUAGGGGUGAAAUCCGUAGAUAUCGGGAGGAAUACCAGCGGCGAAGGCGGCCUUCUGGACGGUGACUGACGCUGAGACGCGAAAGCGUGGGGAGCAAACAGG
rnacentral:rRNA from 1 species